rnacentral:lncRNA from 1 species
AUUGGAGAUCCACUUACACUUUAUGAGUUUUACUUUUUCGAGUAGAUCAAUGAGUAUCCAUACACUGUUAACCUUCAUGGACUCCAUUUCGGACUUUAUGGCUCCAAACCAUUAAUCGAAGUCGGACCUUUGCAUGACAAUCAUGUAAGUGAUCAGAUGCUUAUUGUUCUCAUCGAGUUCAACAGGAUCACAUCUCGUAUCAAGAUAC